rnacentral:rRNA from 1 species
UUUUUAAUAUUUAUAUAGUAUUAACAUAAUUCAUAUUACUUAUUUUGAGUAUAUGAAAUUUUACUUUGAGAAAAUUAGAGUGCUUAAAGCAGGCAAUUGCCUUGAAUACUCCAGCAUGGAAUAAUACAAAAGAUUUUUAUCUUUUUUAUUGGUUCUAAGAUAAAAAUAAUGAUUAAUAGGGACAGUUGGGGCCAUUYGUAUUUAACAGUCAGAGGU